rnacentral:rRNA from 1 species
CGAACGCUGGCAGCGUGGAUUAGGCAUGCAAGUCGACGGGAUCCGGAAGGUAGCAAUACCGGCCGGUGAGAGUGGCGGAAGGGCGAGGAACACGUGAGCAAUCUGUCCAGGAGGUGGGGAAAACUCCGGGAAACUGGAGCUAAUACCGAAUGUGGCGCCGCGGCACAUGCCGUGGACGCUAAAGGGGGCCGCAAGGCUCUCCCUCCACGAGGGGCUCGCGCACCAUCAGCUUGUUGGCGGGUAACGGCCCACCAAGGCUUACGGUUAGCUGGUCUGAGAGGAUGGCCAGCCGCACUGGGACUGAGAUACUGCCCAGACUCCUACGGGAGGCUGCAGUCGAGGAUCAUUCGCAAUGGGGGGAACCCUGACGAUGCGACGCUGCGUGGAGGAUUGAAGGCCUUCGGGUUGUAAACUCCUGUCAUGAUGGAAAAGGAGAGGGGCCCAACACGCCCCUUAUUUGAUGGUGCAUCAAGAGGAAGAGACGGCUAACUCUGUGCCAGCCGCGGC